rnacentral:lncRNA from 1 species
AUGCCAUGUUUAUGACACCAGCCUCUGUUUCCAUGGGGAUGAUUGUAUCAAUGUAAUUCCAGCAUUAUGACUUCUGGGUACAUUUGAGAAGAUGGGUGAAAGCAACGAAAAAUUUUCAAGUGUACACAUCUAUUGUGAUCCUGAUAACUCACAGGAAUGAUACUGCUGAAAAUAGAGACUAGGAAUCAGACAGAUGUCCACUAAAGCCUGAGUCAUCCUAAAACCAUGUGUGGACAGAAAGAGUCCAUAAGACCUAAAUGUCCUGGAAGGUGAAGUCAAACCAUUGAGAAAAUUACCUGGAGAGUCUUCCAGAGGCUGAGACUUCACCCUAUUGGUUUUUACGCUUCUCAGAGCCAGGAGCAUCCCAGAUGCAGAGUCCAGAACUGGGAGGAUGUGGUACUGAGGGAGCCCAGAGCGGAUGGAAUAACAAGGAAGGGAUUUGCCUUCCUGCUUGAAGCAUCUAACGAAUCUGACAAAGUAUAUUAAAGAAAGUGUCUCAAGACACUGGACAUCAGGUAAAGAUGAAUAGGGAUCCCUGAGAGAUGGGAUACAAAUUAGACGAGCCCUACCUUUGAGGUGCUCUCCUAGCUAUGGCCUGGAGAGCAUUUCCAGACACAGCACACGGACAGGCAACCCAGGAGGAGCACAAGAGUCUCCCUAAGCUGAACUAGGAUGGGGCAUGGGGGACCCUGGGGCUGAGGCUGCUAGAAUUCACAAGGCAAGAUACUGAAGAGAAGAGAUCUGCAAAGAAAUAGAACUCCAGAGAUCUACAAAAGUUUCAAUACUCUUCAGCGUGUGCAUGUGAGAAAACUAUCAAAAGGAUUAGAGGGAAAAAUCCCUACACGGGGUGGGAAUAGUGCCUGUUCAUACCAUCUGGAGUGGAAAAUCUUCAUAAUUACAGGGAUUGGUAGACUAUUCAAGAGUCUUGCCUCACAGUGGAGAAAAUUUUACCCUAGACUAAAUGUUGCUCUGCUCUCUCCUUACAAAGCUUAAAGGAAGACCCAAUAGGAUAAAAUUGUUUUCAAGUCACUUAACUGCAUCCUAGAAUGAACUCAAGUAUAUUUAUAGGAAUACAAUAAUGUACAGCCCUCAACAAGAGAAAUUUCACGAAGCUUGGCACACAUUCAAGAAUAACGAGGCAUGCAAAGAAGUAGGACAAAUGCAACCAUAAUACAGAGAAAAGCCAAUCAAACAGACCCAGUAAUGACACUGAUGAUGGAGUUAGUAGACAAGGCCAUUAAAACAGUCAUUAUAACUGCGUUCCAUAUGUUUGAGAAACUUGAACGUGAUAAGUAGAGACAUGGAAGAUAAUUUUGUUGCCUGGGCUUACCCUUCAGACUCUGCUUCUUGAACAGUGUCAGUGGCUGUAAUCUCAGUUCAGAUCUUUCAUCUUUAACUGAGCUGCUUUGAGUCUUCUGCAUAGGUGUGGUUUGAGAGUCGGUCAGACUGGGUACACAGAAUGGCCCCCACCACCGCAAUUCUCUUCAGUGUUCAUAGUAGUCCAGCUUCAAUUUUCUGGUUCCCCAGGCCAGAAAGAAGGGAUGCUUGUUUGUCCACAUGCACCCCAACAGCUGCUGUGUGCACUAUAUGGAGCCACAGAGAUGGGACCUUUCCUGGGCAACUUCUCAUCUCCCCUGUCCAAGUACACUGGAACCAACUGGAAGAGCACUAAAUUGUCAAAGCUGGAACAUUUUGAGCAACAAAAUAAAUAAAGUAGUAUAGAGUGAUA